rnacentral:lncRNA from 1 species
UGAUGGGAGCCGCUCGCGAUGCCUAAUGGAAAACAUCCUCCUUCUCCUGAAGGUCUUCGACCUUGGAAGUUAGUUUGACAACAUCUGAUGAAAGCCGGGUGACUUGCUCUUCCAGUGUCACCACUUUGUCGGAGCUUUUCAAGAUCAGCUGAAAUCUCUUCAAGGCACAACACAAAAUUCAAGCUCCUCCAACAGUGACUCCUCUAAAGGUUGAGAAGGUGGAGAAAAGCACUCUGAAGCAUCUCCUUGAGCUAAAGAAGAGAGUUGCAGCCUGCUUCUUCACAACAAAUGUAUCAGCGCCUGCCAGCGCAAUACUAUGACCUGGUCAGCCAAGUGGGCUUCCAGAGGGAAUUUGCACCACCUGACGCCGUUACAGAACUGCCCACCACAACUGGAUCAAGCAGCAUGCUCGGGAG